AAUCAACGCUGGCGGCGUGCCUAACACAUGCAAGUCGCACGAGAAAGGGACUUCGGUCCUGAGUACAGUGGCGCACGGGUGAGUAACACGUGAAUAAUCUACCUCCGAGUGGGGAAUAACUGAGAGAAAUCUUAGCUAAUACCGCAUAACACUUACGAGUCAAAGCAGCAAUGCGCUUGGAGAGGAGUUCGCGGCAGAUUAGUUAGUUGGCAGGGUAANGGCCUACCAAGACGAUGAUCUGUAUCCGGCCUGAGAGGGCGCACGGACACACUGGAACUGAAACACGGUCCAGACUCCUACGGGAGGCAGCAGUGGGGAAUUUUGCGCAAUGGGGGAAACCCUGACGCAGCAACGCCGCGUGGAGGAUGAAAUCCCUUGGGAUGUAAACUCCUUUCGAUCGGGAAGAUAAUGACGGUACCGAGAGAAGAACGCCCGGCUAACUUCGUGCCAGCCGCCGCUGUAAC
rnacentral:rRNA from 1 species